rnacentral:rRNA from 1 species
GAUGAACGCUGGCGGCGUGCCUAACACAUGCAAGUCGAACGAAGCACCUUACCUGAUUCUUCGGAUGAAAGUCUGGUGACUGAGUGGCGGACGGGUGAGUAACGCGCGGGUAACCUGCCCUGUACAGGGGGAUAACAGCUGGAACCGGCUGCGACUACCGCAUAAGCGCGCGAGGAGACAUCAUCUUGUGUGAAAAACUCCGGUGGUACAGGAUGGGCCCGCGUCUGAUUAGCUGGUUGGCAGGGUAACGGCCUACCAAGGCAACGAUCAGUAGCCGGUCUGAGAGGAUGAACGGCCACAUUGGAACUGAGACACGGUCCAAACUCCUACGGGAGGCAGCAGUGGGGAAUAUUGCACAAUGGGGGAAAUCCUGAUGCAGCAACGCCGCGUGAGUGAAGAAGUAUUUCGGUAUGUAAAGCUCUAUCAGCAGGGAAGAUAAUGACGGUACCUGACUAAGAAGCUCCGGCUAAAUACGUGCCAGCCGCCGCAGUAA